CAGCAGCCGCGGGAAAACGUAGGUGGCAAGCGUUGUCCGGAAUUAUUGGGCGUAAAGGGCUCGCAGGCGGUUUCUUAAGUCUGAUGUGAAAGCCCCCGGCUCAACCGGGGAGGGUCAUUGGAAACUGGGAAACUUGAGUGCUGAAGAGGAGAGUGGAAUUCCACGUGUAGCGGUGAAAUGCGUAGAGAUGUGGAGGAACACCAGUGGCGAAGGCGACUCUCUGGUCUGUAACUGACGCUGAGGAGCGAAAGCGUGGGGAGCGAACAGGAUUAGAUACCCGGGUAGUCCCUGUCUCUUAUAA
rnacentral:rRNA from 1 species